rnacentral:rRNA from 1 species
UACCAGCACCCCGAGUGGUCGGGACGUUUAUUGGGCCUAAAGCAUCCGUAGCCGGUUCUACAAGUCUUCCGUUAAAUCUAACUGCUUAACAGGUGGGCUGCGGAAGAUACUAUAGAGCUAGGAGGCGGGAGAGGCAAGCGGUACUCGAUGGGUAGGGGUAAAAUCCGUUGAUCCAUUGAAGACCACCAGUGGCGAAGGCGGCUUGCCAGAACGCGCUCGACGGUGAGGGAUGAAAGCUGGGGGAGCAAACCGG